GAAGGCCUCCCAGGAAGGGAUCAGCUAUAAAAAGGACCCCAGAGAACUUUGCCUUGAAGAAGAGCAGUGCCUGUCCCAGGGUAGAGACACAGAGGUGACAAAAGGCCAUGGCCCAUCCCUGCCCAGAGAAAGCAUCAAAGGGGCCUCUGCCAAGCCAGCACCCAAAGACCCAAGGGGACACGUUAUUUCUGAUCACUCUCGACUCCUCAGGCAGGCCUGACUGCCCACAACAGCAGGAACAGAAGGGCCCGGUGCCAGCAUAGACAGGCUCUGCUGUGUGAGGAAACUGAGGCUCGUUACUGACUUGCCCAAGAUUCCACAGUGGAAGAGCCUGGACGUGAACUGCGUCUCCAGGUCUCGAACCAUUUCCUGUCCUGGUCCCAGGACCUAGGUGGGGCCGCCGCGCGGUCAGACAGAGCCGGCCCGCCUGGGACCCCUUGGCUGCCCUCGCCCCCCGGCCCCGCCCCCCGCAC
rnacentral:lncRNA from 1 species